rnacentral:lncRNA from 1 species
ACACGCCAUGAGCCGUCAAAGCAGAAGUGAUGAGGAUGGGGGAGGAAGCAGGAGGAUUGUUUUGCUCACGCCUGUGAAAGUCCUCUGCAAAGCUCGGAGUGAAGUGACCAGGACCCAACCAAGCUCCCAUCCUUAUUGACACAGCCCAGACAAGAGGAGGCCUCCUGCCCCCAGCCAAGAGCUGCUUUCCAACCCUCCACGUUGCCAAAAGAAACGUCUCUUCCUUGCCCCUGACCACUCUUCACAUCCUUCACCAGCUGGAGGCAGGUGUGCUGCAAAGGUAUUGCUCGUACGUGGUACCCAGAACUGACCAUGUUGCAGGAAGGGCAGUUCAAUGAAUAGCACAGGGAGCUGGACAAACUGACUUCUCAGAUCCCUUCUGACCUAAUGGUGCUAUGACCCACGUCUUUCUGUUUUUGCUGCAUUUGAGAAGCUGUCACAUAGACAUCCACACCUCUGGAAGGAAUGGGGUAGGGCUUUAAAAAGAAUCAGCCAACUCCUUCCCAACUAGACCAAGAGGGAUUUUUCUUAACGAGGCAGCCUCCUUUUUUUUCUAUUCUAAUAAGGAGGGCUCCAUGGAGGAGGCAGGACCUGAGUAUGGCUCAGAAGCAAGGGAAAGGCCUCUUUUGGAGGGAUGGGACUCUGGGCUCGGGGAUAAAAGUGUGUCCCCCUGAAUCUCCUUGACUAAGACUUGGGGCUCACAAGAUUUGGAGACCAGUGGGGCGGAGCCAAGAUGGUGGAGUGAAAGCAGUGACUUGCUUGAGCUCUCCUCCAAACCCCUCCAAAAACUCAUAAAAAAUGGCUCUAAACAAAUUCUGAAGCAGUAGAACCCACAAAAAGACAGAGUGAAACAAAUUUCCAGCCCAAGACAACCUGGAUGAUUGAUCAGAAAGGUGUAUCGCGCCGGGUUGGGAGCGCAGUGCAGUAUGGCGUGGGCGCGCAGGCCGCAGCAAACCUGGAGCAGGCCUCAGAGGACUGAAUCUCAGGCACCUGUAGAGGUUUCCAGACUCCUCAAUCCACGAAUGCCAAAGACAACUUAGAAGGUCAGUGGGAAAAGUCUUUUUUGUCGGUGCUUAGAGAGGAAGGCGGGGUUUCAGCUCCAUUCCCCAAGAGCAUGGCCCUGGGAGGGGGGGCAGCUG